rnacentral:rRNA from 1 species
AACGAACGCUGGCGGCAGGCUUAACACAUGCAAGUCGAGCGCCCCGCAAGGGGAGCGGCAGACGGGUGAGUAACGCGUGGGAACAUACCCUUUGGUUCGGAAUAACUCAGGGAAACUUGAGCUAAUACCGGAUACGUCCGUAAGGAGAAAGAUUUAUCGCCAAAGGAUUGGCCCGCGUCCGAUUAGCUAGUUGGUGAGGUAACGGCUCACCAAGGCUACGAUCGGUAGCUGGUCUGAGAGGAUGAUCAGCCACAUUGGGACUGAGACACGGCCCAAACUCCUACGGAGGCAGCAGUGGGGAAUAUUGGACAAUGGGCGCAAGCCUGAUCCAGCCAUGCCGCGUGAGUGAUGAAGGCCUUAGGGUUGUAAAGCUCUUUUGUCCGGGAAGAUAAUGACUGUACCGGAAGAAUAAGCCCCGGCUAACUUCGUGCCAGCAGCCGCGGUAAU